rnacentral:rRNA from 1 species
GAACGAACGCUGGCGGCGUGGAUAAGACAUGCAAGUCGAGCGCUCGAGUUCAAGGGUAGCAAUAUUCUUGAGUCGGAGCGGCGCAAGGGUGCGUAACACGUGGGUAAUCUGCCGUGAAGUUGGGGAUAACUCGCUGAAAGGCGAGCUAAUACCGAAUGUGAAAAUUGAAAGGCAUCUUUUGAUUUUUAAAGUUGGGGAUCGUAACGACCUGACGCUUCAUGAUGAACCUGCGGCCUAUCAGCUAGUUGGUGAGGUAACGGCUC